rnacentral:misc_RNA from 1 species
UACGGAGGGUGCAAGCAUUAAUCGGAAUUAUUGGGCGUAAAGGGCGCGUAGGCGGAUUUGUAAGUCAGAUGUGAAAUUCCGGAGCUCAACUUCGGAGCUGCAUUUGAAACUGUAAGUCUAGAGGAAUGGCGGAGAAAAUGGAAUUCCACGUGUAGCGGUGAAAUGCGUAGAUAUGUGGAAGAACACCAGUGGCGAAAGCGGUUUUCUAGCUUUUACCUGACGCUGAGGCGCGAGAGCAAGGGGAGCAAACAGG